GCAGCCGCGGUAAUACGGAAGGUCCGGGCGUUAUCCGGAUUUAUUGGGUUUAAAGGGAGCGUAGGCGGGCUAUUAAGUCAGCUGUGAAAUCCGGCGGCUCAACCGUCGGCCUGCAGUUGAUACUGGUGGUCUUGAGUGCGCGCAGGGGUGUUGGAAUUCAUGGUGUAGCGGUGAAAUGCUCAGAUAUCAUGAAGAACUCCGAUCGCGAAGGCAGAUGCCCGGAGCGCAACUGACGCUGAGGCUCGAAAGUGCGGGUAUCAAACAGGAUUAGAUACCCC
rnacentral:rRNA from 1 species